rnacentral:rRNA from 1 species
AUUGAACGCUGGCGGCAUGCCUUACACAUGCAAGUCGAACGGCAGCACGGGGGCAACCCUGGUGGCGAGUGGCGAACGGGUGAGUAAUAUAUCGGAACGUACCCUGGAGUGGGGGAUAACGUAGCGAAAGUUACGCUAAUACCGCAUACGAUCUAAGGAUGAAAGUGGGGGAUCGCAAGACCUCAUGCUCCUGGAGCGGCCGAUAUCUGAUUAGCUAGUUGGUGGGGUAAAGGCCUACCAAGGCAUCGAUCAGUAGCUGGUCUGAGAGGACGACCAGCCACACUGGGACUGAGACACGGCCCAGACUCCUACGGAGGCAGCAGUGGGGAAUUUUGGACAAUGGGGGCAACCCUGAUCCAGCAAUGCCGCGUGAGUG